rnacentral:rRNA from 1 species
UCGGAAUCUACUUUUUCGUGGGGGAUAACGUAGGGAAACUUACGCUAAUACCGCAAACGACCUACGGGUGAAAGCAGGGGAUCUUCGGACCUUGCGCGAUUGAAUGAGCCGAUGUCGGAUUAGCUAGUUGGCGGGGUAAAGGCCCACCAAGGCGACGAUCCGUAGCUGGUCUGAGAGGAUGAUCAGCCACACUGGAACUGAGACACGGUCCAGACUCCUACGGGAGGCAGCAGUGGGGAAUAUUGGACAAUGGGCGCAAGCCUGAUCCAGCCAUACCGCGUGGGUGAAGAAGGCCUUCGGGUUGUAAAGCCCUUUUGUUGGGAAAGAAAUCCAGCUGGUUAAUACCCGGUUGGGAUGACGGUACCCAAAGAAUAAGCACCGGCUAACUUCGUGCCAGCAGCCGCGGUAAUACGAAGGGUGCAAGCGUUACUCGAAAUUACUGGGCGUAAAGCGUGCGUAGGUGGUCGUUUAA